AGGGUCUUAGCUUAAUUAAAGUGUCUGAGUUGCAGUCAGGUGAUGUAGUUUAGAGUCCUACAGGUCCUG
rnacentral:tRNA from 1 species